AACUAAUUUCAUAAAACAAUGGGUUCUUUGUGUGAGACAGCGGUUCUACUUUUUUGUAUUUUUCAGUUCAGCCGGUAUGCUUUUGGCGUUUGUCCCACUAAGGUAAAAGGAAAUGAGUGCUGCUUUGGUCACUAUUGGGAUGAACGAAGUGGACGCUGCAAAGAAUGUAGAAUUGGUUACUUCGGAAAAGACUGUACGUUGAUAUGCUUUUAUCCUAAUUAUGGCGUGGAGUGUCAACAUCGCUGUGAUUGUGACUUGGAGUUGUGUAACCCAUUUACUGGGUGUAGUCCUCCGCAAGGUAUAUUGAAUGUGUCUAAAACUGAUUUUGAAGAACUUCAUCUUUUGAAAAGGAACUUGAGGAAGUAGAAUUACCAGAUGUGGAACUAAAACCAAGUGCAUUUAUAUGUAUAUCAGUUGUUAUAAUGAGUCUUACAAGCAAAGACGAGAAUACAUGUACAGAUAUUUAGAAAAAUUAAAAACAGUCAUUUGUUAAUAUAUUUUAAACCAUCCCGUGGGGAUCCAGGUUACAAUAUGUCCUCAGUACCCCCUUGGUUGUCGUAAGAGGCAACUAAAUAAUGAGACCGCUAAAACCGAGGUCCCGUGUCACAGCAGGUGUGGCAUGAUAAAGAUCCCUCCUUGCUCAAUGGCCAUAAGCGUCGAGCAUAGGCCUAAAUUUUGCAACCCUUCACCGGCAGUGGUGACGUCUCCAUAUGAGCGGAAUAUUCUCGAGAGGGACGUUAAACAAUAUUCAAUCAAUCAAUCUUAAACCCAGGGCUGAAAUCUUUAAGAAAUAUCCUGAUUAGAAAAGAGAUAUAUCAAACAAAAUAUUUUAAUCCGAUUGAUCAAAAGAUUUUCUCAUGUACGUUGUAAUGUCCAUAUAUACAACACAUCUGUAAUACAGAAUAGUUUAUUCCACAUUUUGACUUGCUACAACCAUGUUCUUUCAGAAUAUGUUAACUCUAAAAUACACCUGGUAAUGCACCCAACGUUUGUUUGUAGACAUAAGAUAAGGUUGAUGAAAUGACACGAAAAAUUAUAUAUUAUUGAGAAACGUCGCGUAUGAACUUGACAGAGGAUGAUCUGGACCGUUUUCCCUUUAGCUAGGUAAAGAGAUAUUGAUUCGCUUAUGAAAGGUGAAGAUAACGAACAGUGAUCAAUCUUAUAAAUCCUACAAAGAAUACAAAAUAGAAAUUUAGGAAACCCCUUGAUAUACCAGAGGUGGGGUCAGAUGCUUGGAGGAGUAAGCAUCCCCUGUCGACCGGUCACAACCGCCGUGAGCCAUAUAUCUUGAUCAGGUGAACAGUGUCCCAAGAAAGUCAGACAACAUAUGACCCAAUGAUAGGUUGUAUUGCCAAAUUAGAUUAUUAUGAUGUCCACCCAAUUUGCGAAAUGUUGACUUUAUACGAGACUGUUGAAAUCCCUGUAACAUCACCUUGUUUUUCAGUAGCCUGACUCUGUUUAAGAACUGAUCAUACGCAGAACAAGCUCUUGUUUAUUGAAUCAGUUGAAAUAUAUAAAAUUCAUAUGCAGGGAAUAAUAGAACAUUGCUUACAUAAAUAUGGGAAGUUGACGAUGGAACAGGUUAUUUGGUUAGUAUUACGUUCCUUCAAGACGUUUUCACUCACAUUGAGCCGUACUGUAUAACCAUCUGUAAGUGAAAUACCACACAUUUAGAUCUGUGUUUGGCGCUCAGGGCCGUAGCAGUGAGGGUUCUUUCACGUGCCAGCGCCUGAUUCUACUGCUCUACAGAACAUACGUAUACGCAGUGGGAUAAUUACUACAUGUAUUUAACACAGGCAUGGUAUGAACGGAGAUUGAACACACGACCGUCCGGUCAGGAAGUGAACGCUGUAACCACUGAUACGAUAUUGAUUCCAAUGUUGUUGCUUUUUACGUGAGACUAUAGUGUGAUUGGUACUUAUGUAGUAUGAUCUUUCUUUCAGAGAAGUAUGAAUCACAAUCGACUGUCUUUGUACAUACUCAACCAGCACUGUCUACUCCUAUUGCGUUAAAAACAUCGCCGGCAACCCGAGUGGAAGAGGGUUCACGUUUGUCGACGUUUCAAACAAUUUUAAUCGGAGUGUUGGGAAUAAUAGUGAUUUUCAUUUGUGUCUUUUCAAUCUAUGUAGCAAGACAAAUUAAAACCAACGACCACGAGAAUCAGAAGCUAAAAGCACAAAGGAAACGCAGUUCGAUUAGAGAACACAUCGAUUCAGAGUCCUAUGAAUCUUUACAGAGCAUUAACUUGACUCCACUGGAUUUAGUGGAAGCAGAACAGGGUAUGUGUAGAGGAGGAUCUGUUUAUCUCCAGUCGACCCAGGACACGACACAAAUCACCCAAGUAAACCGCCAUGAAUCGAGCAAUGCUUCUUUUCGUUCCGAUGGAGACGGUUAUGUGAUGCCUACACAAUCAUCGUCAAAACAUAUGCAAAAUGGAAAUGCGACAACAGAAAUAGUUACGAGUAAUAACACCUACCUAACAGUCAUUGAAGGCUAAACGCAUGACAGAUACAUUACAUCUUAAAACAUGAAUGAUGACUUUGAAGAGUGCGCAUACAAUGCAUGGCUUUAUAUUACACAACAUUUACAUAACAAUUUAUAUCGAAAUGCUUUAUGAUAUCUUUACGCUGUAUGUUGAAUAGAUUAUAUUUAUUCAUUUGUUAUACUACGAUAAAUUAUGCUAAAAACCGUAACAAAAUAAGGAUACACCACAAAUCUACCCGAUAAAAAAAAACCUUCAUUGUAUAGCGCAUUUGUUUCUGCGCACAAUUGGGAAAUUCCUGCAUCCUCAACUCAAAAUUUUAAUAUCCCUGUCAUAUUUCUCCACUACAUUUGUGUCAAAACAUACUUUAAAAGAUGUAUUACAGCUGAAGCGUGCCACAAACUUACAGUUUCAAAGACAUUUCGUUUUGUUGACGUACAUUUACAUGGAGCUGUGUUAGAGUUUUAAAUUCAUUGUUGAGUUACAAGUGUAUAUACAUGUACGUGUAUAUGAUGUUUUGAAACCAAACAUACAAUUUGAAGAGGAUCCUAAGUUUUAAAUUGCAAUGUUUCAUGAAUCAACAAGUAUCUAGAUGUCACAUUUCUGCAAAAAUAAAAACCAAAUUAAAAAACAUUCAAAGUUUGAUUAUCAUGCAAAUUCUCUAUAUAAAUGAUUUAUAUAUACACGUAAUGAAUCUCAUCCUCACUAUUAUAGUUAGGGAAAAUAGAAUAUUACAUAUGCUGAUUAACUGAUAUCCGUUAAUUGUAACAGGAAACCAAUAUCUCAAAAUAGAUUAAUUUAAAUAGAUUAAUUACGAUCACGUUUGUUUUAGCACAAAAUUCUAAAAUAGUCAAUAGAUCUUUUUCCUCUAUCGUUCUUGAUCUAUUUACUAAUAGUGAACUAGAUCUUGUACAUAUAUAUACUGUAAAGAAUAGGUUGUAGACUAAUGGUAUAAUGUUCAAUGUGACGGUAGCCUUGUUAUUUAGUUCUAAUUGUUUCGUAUGAUAUUACUCAUUAAAACCAGAUCCGUAUACGUAAUGUAAAACAAAGGUCAUCACGAGCACUGCAAUAAAAAAAAGAAAGAAUGUAGCUCAGUACAAACCCAAAAUGAAAUUGAUAUGUACAGGAUUAUAAUACAACUCUAUUGCACUGUUAAAAAAGAAAAAGUAACCUUCGCAUCAUGGGGUUUUUCCAACUGUUCUUGUGUGUUUUAUACUACCUAAUAAUCAUUAUUAAUGAUAAUAAAAUUGAGUGUCUU